rnacentral:rRNA from 1 species
UGGUGGAGUGAUUUGUCUGGUUAAUUCCGUUAACGAACGAGACCUUACCCUGCUAAAUAGGAGCUGAAUGAAUAAUUUGGCAUCCUUCUUAGAGGGACUAUGUGUUCAAGCACAUGGAAGUUUGAGGCAAUAACA